CGCUAACCAGCUAGCCCCAAACCCAUAAAAACAACAGUCCAAUAUAGAUAACCCCAAAUACACUACCCUCCCACUAAACAAACCAUUUUUCCCCCUAAGUAUAGGUGAUAGAAAAGGAACCCAGAGCAAUAGAAAAAGUACCGCAAGGGAAUGCUGAAAGAGAAAUGAAACCAACCCAGUGAAGCCACAAAAAGCAGAGCUCUAAACUCGUACCUUUUGCAUCAUGAUUUAGCCAGUACUACCCAAGCAAAGAGCACUUUAGUUUGGACCCCCGAAACUACGUGAGCUACUCCGAGACAGCCUAUCAAUAGGGCAAACCCGUCUCUGUGGCAAAAGAGUGGGAAGAUCUCUGAGUAGGGGUGACAGACCUACCGAACUUAGUUAUAGCUGGUUGCCUGAGAAAUGGAUAAAAGUUCAGCCUCAAGGUUUCUCCCUUCACCGUGGUUUAUUCCCUCACACGAUACACAAAAGAAGCCUAGAGAGUUAGUCAAAGGGGGUACAGCCCCUUUGACACAAGAUACAACUUUCCCAGGUGGGUAAAGAUCAUAACUACUUAAGGUUACAAUGCCCAGGUGGGCCUAAAAGCAGCCAUCCUCAUAGAAAGCGUUAAAGCUCAAACAUUAAACCUCCUCCAUGUAUUUAGAUAACCAAAUCCCAACCCCCUAAGACUAUCAGGCCGUCUCAUGCAAACAUGAGAGCGCCCAUGCUAAUAUGAGUAAUAAGAGAUAUAUACGCAUCUCUCCCCGCACAAGUGUACAUCGGAACGAACCCACACCGAAAAUUAACGAUCCCAAUCCAAGAGGGCAUUGAACCACAAGCGAACAACCAGAAAACCAUCCAAUUUACUACCGUUAAACCCACACUGGUGUGCUUACCCCGGAAAGACUAAAAGAAAAAGAAGGAACUCGGCAAACACUUGAAGCCUCGCCUGUUUACCAAAAACAUCGCCUCUUGCAAAAAUAAAGAAUAAGAGGUCCCACCUGCCCAGUGACAUUAUGGUUCAACGGCCGCGGUAUUUUAACCGUGCAAAGGUAGCGUAAUCACUUGUCUUUUAAAUGAAGACCUGUACGAAAGGCAUUACGAGGGCUUAGCUGUCUCCUUUUUCAAGUCAAUGAAAUUGAUCUCCCCGUGCAGAAGCGGGGAUAGACCCAUAAGACGAGAAGACCCUAUGGAGCUUUAGACACCAAGGCAUAUCAUGUCAAACACCCCCCUAUAAAGAAUAGAACUUAGUGACCAAUGCCCCUGUGUCUUCGGUUGGGGCGACCACGGGGAAACAAACAACCAGUGGGAGCUUAAUUUUCACCUCCUCCUACAACCAAGAGCUGCAGCUCCAAGAAACAGAAUUUCUGACCAAUCUAGAUCCGGCAAUGCCGAUCAACGGACCAAGUUACCCUAGGGAUAACAGCGCAAUCUCCUUUUAGAGCCCAUAUCGACAAGGGGGUUUACGACCUCGAUGUUGGAUCAGGACAUCCUAAUGGUGCAGCCGCUAUUAAGGGUUCGUUUGUUCAACGAUUAAAGUCCUACGUGAUCUGAGUUCAGACCGGAGCAAUCCAGGUCAGUUUCUAUCUAUGACAUGUUCUUCUCUAGUACGAAAGGACCGAAAAGAAGAGGCCAAUGCUCAAAGUAAGCCUCACCCCUCCUAUUGAACACAACUAAAAUAGGCAAAAGGGCAUACUCUUUCCCGCCUAAGAUAAUGGCAU
rnacentral:rRNA from 1 species